AAAUGAAGAACAAUCUCUUUAUCACAUUCCCUACCGUAGACGCAAGACUCAUCAACAAGAGAAUUGGUUCUUGGUCUCUCUCUUAUCCCUCUAUCAUUCUCGACUAGACUCAAAGCAUCCUUCAUUGCAACAGCCUCUUCCAAUCUAGCAGAGGGCGAAGCGGCGUCCGGAUCUUCCGUUAUUUGGCGACGCCUAGCCUCUGUGGUGAGCUCGUCGAUGAUAUCCUCAGCGUCGUAAGCAACGUCUCUUAAAUCACUAAGCCACAGCUCCAGUGAGCGGCUCGAGGUUUGCUUUUCUUCAACAUUUUCAAGGGAAGCAUUGAUGAUGCACAGCAGCGUUUGCCAUUUCUUGAGAUACGAUGAAAAUUUAUCUUUGUCAGCAAAUUUCAUAAAAAAGGGUCAAGGAGAUAACCUCCAUCAGCGAACGAGCCACGGCGGCGUCACCCAGAGAAGCGGAUUUACCUUUCAUCACUGAGAAGCGGCCCCGUUUUUGAACUUGCAUCAGUGUCUCUUAACGAAAGUUGAAAGGUUUAAAGGAAAGAAAAGGAAAGCCAAAACGUAUACCGGACUAUUCAUAUCUAUAACACUAGACUUAGUCGCUCGCACGUAAGUAUCUUUUAUUUUUUAUAUCAAAAAGAAUGCAAAUAAAGAAUAUUAGGGAGAGUUUGGAUGAGUAAUUGAAUGCGGUGCGCUGUAUUUAGUUUAAUUUGUUUCAUAUUAGAGUAUUGUUACAGUAUUUAAUCUCACUGCUACCGCUGUUUUUACACUAA